GCUGGGAUACCUUAGUCGGUAGAGCAUAAGAGACUUAAUCUCAGGGUUGUGGGUUCAAGACCCAGGUUGGGCA